rnacentral:rRNA from 2 species
GGUUGACCUCGGAUCAGGUAGGAAUACCCGCUGAACUUAAGCAUAUCAAUAAGCGG